UGCAAGUCGAACGAGGACUUUCGCCGAAGCUUGCUUCAUUGAAAGUCCUAGUGGCGAACGGGUGCGUAACACGUGAGCAACCUGCCUGGAAGCGGGGGAUAGCCUGGGGAAACUCGGAUUAAUACCGCAUGUGAUCGAAGACGACAUCUUCUUUGAUUAAAGCUGGGGAUCUUCGGACCUGGCACUUCCAGAUGGGCUCGCGGCCUAUCAGCUUGUUGGUGAGGUAACGGCUCACCAUGGCGACGACGGGUAACUGGUCUGAGAGGAUGGUCAGCCACACUGGAACUGAGACACGGUCCAGACACCUACGGGUGGCAGCAGUCGAGAAUCAUUCGCAAUGGGCGCAAGCCCGACGGUGCGACGCCGCGUGGAGGAUGAAGGCCCUCGGGUUGUAAACUCCUGUCAUCAGAGAGUAAGUCAUUUCCGGUGAAUAGCCGGGGGUGUUGAUAGUAUCUGAAGAGGAAGAGACGGCUAACUCUGUGCCAGCAGCCGCGGUAAUACAGAGGUCUCAAGCGUUGUUCGGAAUUACUGGGCGUAAAGGGUGCGUAGGCGGCAAAGUAAGUCAGAUGUGAAAGCUCGGGGCUCAACCCCGAUACUGCAUCCGAUACUGCUUUGCUAGAGUAGUGGAGGGGCGACUGGAAUUCACGGUGUAGCAGUGAAAUGCGUAGAUAUCGUGAGGAACACUAGUGGCGAAGGCGAGUCGCUGGACACUUACUGACGCUGAGGCACGAAGGCCAGGGUAGCGAAAGGGAUUAGAUACCCCUGUAGUCCUGGCAGUAAACGGUGCACGUUUGGUGUGGGAGGAUUCGACCCCUUCCGUGCCGGAGCUAACGCGUUAAACGUGCCGCCUGGGGAGUACGGUCGCAAGACUAAAACUCAAAGAAAUUGACGGGGACCCGCACAAGCGGUGGAGUAUGUGGCUUAAUUCGAUGCAACGCGAAGAACCUUACCUGGGUUUGACAUGCUUGUCGUAGUCCUGUGAAAGCAGGACGUCAGUUCGGCUGGACUUGCACAGGUGCUGCAUGGCUGUCGUCAGCUC
rnacentral:rRNA from 1 species